UGCUGGAGGUAUCAGAAGUGCGAAUGCUGACAUAAGUAACGAUAAAGCGGGUGAAAAGCCCGCUCGCCGGAAGACCAAGGGUUCCUGUCCAACGUUAAUCGGGGCAGGGUGAGUCGACCCCUAAGGCGAGGCCGAAAGGCGUAGUCGAUGGGAAACAGGUUAAUAUUCCUGUACUUGGUGUUACUGCGAAGGGGGGACGGAGAAGGCUAUGUUAGCCGGGCGACGGUUGUCCCGGUUUAAGCAUGUAGGCGGAGGUUCCAGGUAAAUCCGGUACCUUUUAACGCUGAGGUGUGAUGACGAGGCACUACGGUGCUGAAGUAACAAAUGCCCUGCUUCCAGGAAAAGCCUCUAAGCAUCAGGUAACAUCAAAUCGUACCCCAAACCGACACAGGUGGUCAGGUAGAGAAUACCAAGGCGCUUGAGAGAACUCGGGUGAAGGAACUAGGCAAAAUGGUGCCGUAACUUCGGGAGAAGGCACGCUGAUAUGUAGGUGAAGCCCCUGCGGGUGGAGCUGAAAUCAGUCGAAGAUACCAGCUGGCUGCAACUGUUUAUUAAAAACACAGCACUGUGCAAACACGAAAGUGGACGUAUACGGUGUGACGCCUGCCCGGUGCCGGAAGGUUAAUUGAUGGGGUUAGCGGCAACGCGAAGCUCUUGAUCGAAGCCCCGGUAAACGGCGGCCGUAACUAUAACGGUCCUAAGGUAGCGAAAUUCCUUGUCGGGUAAGUUCCGACCUGCACGAAUGGCGUAAUGAUGGCCAGGCUGUCUCCACCCGAGACUCAGUGAAAUUGAACUCGCUGUGAAGAUGCAGUGUACCCGCGGCAAGACGGAAAGACCCCGUGAACCUUUACUAUAGCUUGACACUGAACACUGGUCCUUGAUGUGUAGGAUAGGUGGGAGGCUUUGAAGCGUGGACGCCAGUCUGCGUGGAGCCGACCUUGAAAUACCACCCUUUAAUGGCUGGUGUUCUAACGUAGACCCGUAAUCCGGGUUGCGGACAGUGUCUGGUGGGUAGUUUGACUGGGGCGGUCUCCUCCCAAAGAGUAACGGAGGAGCACGAAGGUUAGCUAAUCCUGGUCGGACAUCAGGAGGUUAGUGCAAUGGCAUAAGCUAGCUUGACUGCGAGAGUGACGGCUCGAGCAGGUGCGAAAGCAGGUCAUAGUGAUCCGGUGGUUCUGAAUGGAAGGGCCAUCGCUCAACGGAUAAAAGGUACUCCGGGGAUAACAGGCUGAUACCGCCCAAGAGUUCAUAUCGACGGCGGUGUUUGGCACCUCGAUGUCGGCUCAUCACAUCCUGGGGCUGAAGUAGGUCCCAAGGGUAUGGCUGUUCGCCAUUUAAAGUGGUACGCGAGCUGGGUUUAGAACGUCGUGAGACAGUUCGGUCCCUAUCUGCCGUGGGCGCUGGAGAAUUGAGGGGGGCUGCUCCUAGUACGAGAGGACCGGAGUGGACGCAUCACUGGUGUUCGGGUUGUCAUGCCAAUGGCACUGCCCGGUAGCUAAAUGCGGAAAAGAUAAGUGCUGAAAGCAUCUAAGCACGAAACUUGCCCCGAGAUGAGUUCUCCCUGACCCUUUAAGGGUCCUGAAGGAACGUUGAAGACUACGACGUUGAUAGGUCGGGUGUGUAAGCGCAGCGAUGCGUUGAGCUAACCGAUACUAAUGAACCGUGAGGCUUAACCUU
rnacentral:rRNA from 1 species